UUUACUCAGUGAGUGCAAGAGGUUUGUUUGAAACAGACCGCAAUGGAGAGAUCAGCGCCCAGGGAAGGGAGGGAACAGCAGGCUCCUUCCAGCAGCACAUCGGGAUGGGAGCCUGGGACACAGAGGGGGCUCCGACACUGGGAUUGAUUCGGGGCAAGUACUCAAAGGACCAAGGCAAUGUAAUAUUCCCUCGGUACAGAGCCAAGUGUGACCAGCUGCUUUGAACAAACAGCAGAUGCUGCCAGACCUCCUGAGUGUCUGAGGCAAUUUUUUUUUAAGUGUUCAUGUCAAGUCUUCAGCUGCACCCCAGUGAAAAAUGAGCACAGAUCAUGGAUGAAAAAUGGAUUACCUGGCACCGUGAGGUCGAUGGAAUUACUGGUAACAUUAAAUAUCAUUCCAAUGGGACCCCUGUUGAUCAAGAGACACUGUUAUCGGCGUUGGUGCUGGGACUGGGAGGAUUCAAUGGCCAGCUCUGUUCUGCCUGAGCUCGAGUUGUAAUUCCCACUGGCAUUGUUUAAGGCUUUCUGUUGAAAGUACCAUUGAAAGUACGGUCCAGUACCUCGGCUCAGUACACACUCUGAAACGAGAUGACUCCCAAUCAGAACCUCCAUUUUCUUGGCUCUGGGCAUGAGGAAAACCCCAGCAACAGGAACUGGAACAAAACAAGACAAAGAGGAAAGAAAAGAUCGGAUGCUGAAAUUGUCUCUUUUUUCACAGAUGUUAUCUGCGAUGACAGGAUAAUAAUUGAUGGAAAGGAGAAAUAAAACAAGCAAGAUUUCACAUCAUUGCAAAGUCUUCCGAUGUUGUAAAAUCUAUACUUCGAAAGAUUUGUGUUAGUAUGGAUGGCCAGAUCAUCCAACCAUUGCCUCUCGAUGUUCAAUGGUGUUACCAUCACCGUCCCCACCCCACUGCACUAUCAACAUCCUUGGGGGUUCCUGUCAUUGUCCCAACCCUCUUCCCACUAUCAACAUCCUGAAGGUUACCGUCACUGUCCCCACCCUGCUGCACUAACAACACCCUGAGGGUUACCAUCACUGUCCUCAUCCCCACUAUCAACAUCCUACAGGUUACCAUCACAGUCCCCAACCCCACUAUCAACAUCCUGAAGGAUACUAUCACUGUCCCCACCCCCACCUCACUAUCAACAUCCUGAGAGUUACCAUCACUGUCCCCAACCCUACACUACUAUGAACAUCUUUGGUGUUACCAUCAGCCUCCCCCAGCUCAUAAUGUCUAAGCUUCUACCUUUCUCUGAUGGAUUGCUUAAGAAGUAAUUGCAGAGUCAGUGGUCUACAGCACAGAUCUUCGGCUGACUGAAUCCAUACUAGUCAAAAGCAACCAACUCACUAUUCUCUCAUACAAUUUUCCCAGUCAUUGGGUCAUACAGCAUGGAAAUAGACGCGUCGGCCCAACACGUCCAUGCUGACCAGGCCUCACUCACAAAACUAGUCCUAUUUGUUUGCCUUUGGUCCAUAUCCGUCAAAACUUUUCCUAUCCACGUAUCUUUCCAAAUCUCUUUUAGAGGUUGUUAUUGUACUCACUUCUACCACUUCCUCUGGCAGCUCAUUCCAAAUAUGCACCACCAUCUGUGUGAAGAAGUACCCUCUCUGGUCACUUUUCAAUCUUUCCUCUCUCACCUUAAAUCGAUGCCCUCUAGUUUUGCACUCCCCGGCCCUGCAGAAAAUACCUUGGCUAUUCACCUUAUCCAAGCCCCUAUUUCUGCAGGAAAAUACAAGUGAAACUUCAAGGACCACUUAAUCUGACUCAAGCCUUGGCAUCGCAAGUGUACAUCUAAAUCCUUCUUCAGCAUGAUGAGGAUUUCUGCCUCUCUCACCUUUCCAGGCAGUGAGUUCCAGACUCCCCACCACCCUCUGGGUGAAAAUGUUUGCCCCCACAUCCCUUUCUAAACCUCCUGCCCCUUACUUUCAAUGUAUGCCCCUCCCCCAGUCAUUGAUCUCUCCAUCAAAGGGGGAAAAGUUUCUUCCUCUCUACCCUAUCUACACCCCUCUUCAUUUUAUACAUCUCAAUCAUGUCACUACUCUCAAUCUCCUCUGCUCUCAGAAAAACAACUAUAGUCUGUCCAAUCUCUCUCUCCAUCACUGAAACUCUCCAGUCCCCAAGGAAAUAUCCUGGUAAACUUUGCUCUUAUGGGAUAUAGGUAAAUUAUUGUUACUUCUGCAAUUAUAAUUGCUGGUGCGAGGUGAAUGAACUCACACUGGUGUGUAGUUGUUAGGCCGGGGGCUGAGUCGGCGGGAGUGGGAGCUGUAUGGAGGAAAUGCGUGAUUUUUUUUUGUAUUAGCUAAAAAUGUAUGCAAGAAAGAAACGGGAUUGCAAAACAAUGGUAGAUAUUACAGGCGACGAGAUACGAUGCUUUGAGGGGCAGCACAGAUGGAGGGAGUAGAUAAUGGUAAGCAAAGGAUGUGCCUAACAAUGACCUACAGCAGCAUGAGGUCAAACGACCUUGUGAGGCCAGGAUAAGACAAGAGAUAAACAGGAGUAAUGGGUACCGGUCUUGAGGAAGUGGAGGAUGUAAACAGCUGGGGGAACAAUGAAAUUUUUUUAAAAAUGUAGGAACCAAAUUAUAUAAAUAGAGUAUUUGUUGAAU